CAGAGCAAGCUAUUUUAGUCCAAUAAGAUAAAAAAGGAGUAACUUUUUUAAAGAGAAAAUUACAUUUGCUGCCUGUCAAAAAAUCAGGUUUUUUAAGGGCUCAGGAUCUGAUUAUCAGUCUGAUGAUAGUUCUAACUUUGUAAUGUUUUUUAGUUUUAUAUCACAGGUGAACGCUGAGCUUUAAGAGUAUGGAAGAGGUGGAGACAAUCCGGAGAGGGGGUUUUGUUACAUAAAUGCUCAGGAAAAAGGGGG